UGUUUUAUCCCAGUUUGCGUACUGAAGAGGAAGAGAGGCCUCUUGGCUCUACAGAGGGCAAGGAACCAAGGAUACUGAACCGGGGGCCCUCUCGCACCCCUGGAAAGCUGAGACCCUGGGGUAGUGCAGAGAGCAUCCAUCUAGCAUCCAGGAUGCCCUGCCUGAGGCCCAGCUACACUACUUCCUGGCUAAAGCCUUUCCCUCUCUGGGCCAGGCUUGCGGAUCUAUAAAGUGAGACCCUCAGAAUCAGGCCCACGACAAAGAUGAUGAGCACCGUGGUUUUCUCUCCAAGAGGAAUAUCUUGUUGAAAGGACUGUAGGGAUGGAUUGUGGAGGCAGGAACGUGUGGAGCUGCAGAGCCUCCUGAGUGGUCCAGCAGGUGUCCUCCUCUCCUGCUGUGACCCUCUGAUGCUCCAGAUACCGGGCUGUGGGUAUGAGGUAUUUGCUUCGCAUCUGCCCUGUGCCAAACCAUGAGGAUGCUGGGGAUGAAGGAACUGGACAACGUUCUCCCAACUCGAUGAUGGGGACAGAAGUGCUGCGGGUAGAAAAGAAGACCUCUCUUGAACUAACUCAGCCACAUCUGUUUGCAUCGUUCACACACACUUCCUUUUCCCAUUUAAGUGCUUAAAUGAUUUAAAGUGGUAUAAAUAGAAUCCUUGAAAGUCUUCCCCUCCCCGUUUCUUCCUAAACAGCUCCUACACAGCCUUCAGGGCCUCGUUCAAGGGUUGCCCACUGAAGUACUUACGCCUGCCGCUUCCUCCCAUCCAAGAGGUAGAGCAUCUCCUCGGUCAGCCCACGGUACAUCACACAAGUGUUCGGUGGAGCACAAUAGUCAUUGUUUUCAUUUGCCUCUGAGCCCUUUGGGAGGAGCAAGGACAUGGCUUCCUCAUCAUCAUUGAAUCCCAAGCCUGGGGUACUUACUGGCCCCAGUAAUGUUUGUUCCAUGAAUAUUUUUUCUUAUUGAGGUCUGACAGGAGAAAGGGCUAAGAAAAGGAACUGAUACCCAUCAAGCCUGCAGCACCUUCAGUUAUAGGCCCAAUGCCUGGCCAGGUUAGCAUAAAUCUCCACAUUAAAGACCUUUUUACUUCAGUUCCUGAAGUCUAUACCACAUGCCAGGCUUUCAACGAAAAAUUACAAGGUCUGCCAGAAAGCAAGAAAACACUGAAGCAAGAAAAGUCUGAAGAGACAAAGCAAACAUCACAACCAGACUCAGACAUGACACAGAUGUUAGAAUUAUCAGGCAGAGAAUUUAAAAUAACUAUAAUUAAUAUGUUAAGAACUCUGUGGAAAUGGAGACCACAUGCAAGACAGAUGGGUAAAGUAAGCAGAGGUGGAAACUCUGAGAAUCAAAAAGAAAUGCUAGAAAUCUAAACACCAGAACAGAAAAGAACAAUGUCCUCCAUGGGCUGCUCGGUAGACUGGACACAGCUGAGGAAAGAAUCCAUGAGCUUGAAGACAGGGUGAUAAUAAGGGUUCAAACUGAAAUCAGAGAGAAAAACAAUGAAAGAAUAAUGAAAACGGAAUGAAAGCAUCCAAGAACUGUGGGGCUACAGCAAAUAGGUGUAACAUACACGUAACUGGAACACUAAAAAGAGGAGGACAGAGCAGAAGCAUCAGAAGUACUAACACCUGGCGAUGUCCCCCCAUUAAUGGCAGACAGAGAACUUCAGUUGCACGAAGCCUGGGGAAGCCCUGGCAGGAUAAACAGCCAACAGCAACAGCUGAAGGGGCUUGCAGAGACCAGGGCACGGGGCGCCCAGCAUUAGUGCCAGCCUCCCCAUUAUCUGUAUGAUACCUCAUGGCCGUGACUCACAGACCUUUCAGAUGGUUCCCCCUGAAUCACUAAGCCCAGACUCUGCAGUAGCGAGCCCGGUGGCUGGAAACCCUGCUGGUGGCGCUGCUUGCUGGAGGAAUGCUUCAGCUGUGCCAUCCGUGGCGGUGCCUGGUGGCACAGCAGAAACUCUGCUGGUUGGGAGUUUGGUCUGCGUGGCACAACUCGCUCAGGCACCAAAGGGGUUCACUGUACAGAUUUGGGGCAACUCAAGAAUCACCAGAAAGGGGAUUUCCCUGGUACUUCCAAUGCAGGGGGCAGGAGUUCAAUCACUGAUCAGGAAAUCAAGAUCCUAUAUGCCACCUGGCCCAGCACCGCCCUCCCCAAAAAAAAAGAAAGAAAGAAAGAAAAACUCACCAGGAAAGGAAGAUCAAGAAAUAGGCAGAAAAACCAAUACAAUACUGUAAAGUUAAAAAAUAAAAUAAAAUACAUUAAAAAAAAAAGAUUUGGAAAAAAACAGCCAAAAUUUUCUUGUAGUUAUCUCUGGGUAAUGCACUUGGAUGUAAGUUUAAUUUUUUUCUAAAGACAUCUGUAUAAUUUUCAAAUUUUCAAAAAUAAAUGCAGAAUACUUCUUAAAUCAAAAAAAAAAAAAAGAAAAGAAAGAAAAGAAAAGAAAUAGGCGGCAGCAAAGAGAAUUACAUGGCCAGAAAGGGAAAGUCUUAGUCACUUAGUUGUGCUCGACUCUUCGUGGUCCCACGGACUGUAGCCUGCCAGGCCCCUCUGUCCAUGGGAUUCUCCAGGCGAGAAUACUGGAGUGGGUUGCCAUUCCCUUCUCCAGGGGAUCUUUCUGACUCAGGGAUCAAACCUCGGUCUCCUGCAAUGCAGGCAGAUUCUUUUACCGUCUGAGCUACCAGGGGAAAACUGUAAUUCAAAUCUUCCUACCCACCCUAACCAGUGCAGAAGGACUCUGCCCCAUGGCCAUUCACAGCAGACACCCCCUCCCCAACUCCGCUUGCCUAAGAAUGCACAUGCCAAGGCCACUGUGGAAAGAAGGCUCUUGCGCUCCUGCCCAGGUGAGGAGGACGCAGGGAGGAUACCACUGUUUGCAAGCCCUGAAGGUGGCCCUCAUCAAACACCAAGUCUGCCUGCAGCUUGAUCCUGGACUUCUAGCCUCCAGAACCAGGAGAGAUGUAGCUAUCAUUUUCUUCAAGGCACCAAGACCAUUGCCAGCCCCACUUGCACCGCUCUAUGGGGGUCAACCUCUCCACUUCUGGCUCCACCAUCCACACUUAUUCAUAACUUCUUUGGCCAAAACCGAAUGUAACUGGCAGUAGAACAAAGACUCGGUUCAUCACCAGCUUGUCUCGUGAAGAUGAAGAACGGACAAAGGAUCUUUGUUAUUUACAUAUUAAAUCCAAGCACGCCCUCCACCCUUCAAAGCCUCCUCUCUCCUGAGUCUAGCCCUCAGUUUUAUUUCAUCUUCCCUGUUAGCGACUUGCCACGUCUGGGAGGGAUCCUCUGAUUUGCUCACUGUUCUUUGGCGAGUUCAGCCCAUUCCUGCAUCUGCAUUUUUUCCUGGCUGCUCAUUCUCCCCCUCCUUUCUCUUCCCCUACUAGCUACAGCCCUCCUGAAACAUGGCUCACCGGCAUAAAGACCUUCUCUCUGUCCAGUCACCACUCGCAUUGGGGAAGCCCAGGAAAGAGCUUGGGGACUGCUCUGCUCUCAAUGAGGGGCGCCAAGGGCGCAACAGGGGUGGGGUGCUGAGGACUCAGCUCCAGAGGGGCGGGUGCUGAGUGGCUGUGGAUGGAGAGGGUGGAUACCCAGAAGGCAGGUCUGGGAGAAAGGCUGCACCAUUUAUGCAAAUGGGGGCUGCUUUGCAUGAAGUACAUCACAUAUUGACCAAGCUGGGUAUGGGACAUCUGUUGAGGGUACUCUGUGCCUGGUGGGCUCACCCUCGAGAGCAGUCUGGGUCAAAGACUGGUGAGAAGAAGCAUGUUUGUGUAGAACUCUUGUGACUGGAAGGGAUGAGGUCUCCGGAAGAGCUUACAGAGGAGAGAGGAGACCAACAAAAGCACCACAUCCUCCUGACACAAAGACAAUAAGUAGGACACAGAACAGGAAACUUCCCUGGAGGACUCGCUCUUAAACUCACCGGAAGCCACUUCUCUCAUUUUCAAAAUGGAAAUAAUAGUGCCUGCCUGGCCUCCCGGCUGAGCUAUUCCACACACACACACCCUGAAGAAGGGUCAGGAAAUCCAUCUGCAAAGUUCUGGGGAGGCUAGGCAGCAUUAUUCACAAAGGACGCUUCCGUAUGCUUCCCUCGAAGACACAAUUCCCCUUACAACAUUUAUGGGUUGACUCAAUUACAGGAUUUCAUUUUGCACCCAAUUUCAGGAGGGACCACAGUUGUGUCGUGUCUGCCCUCCUGGCUCCUUGUCCUUGUCACUUUCCUGAAGCUGCCAGGGCCAGCUUGGUCCUCCACCUCCCUCAGACCCCUCUUGCCUGUGCUGCUUUAUCACCAUCCAUCACCCUUCAUCUCAAGGGACCUUCUUCCCUACCCAUCUCCCAUGAGAGCCUCAUUUCUAGUGCCUGCCUCUUGCUCUGAUCAGAUUCCUGGGCUCUGGCUCCUGGGCUCAGCCUCCCUGGCGAUUUCAUCCAUGCCAGGAGCCAUCAACCACUGCCUGUGUCCAGGGAGAGUCAGGCCAGUGAGUCCAGUCCUGACAUUCUUUAAUGCUCCCAUCUUCUGCUCAAACAAGUAACGCCCUGGAGGUGUUGCUCAGAAUAACUAAUAGUAUUCACUGCAUUUUCUUCCAAAGUGACUCUGCUUCAGAUCUCUGAGAAUGGUGCAAAGUAGUUUCAGCAGCCAGUCUCCAAAGCUCAAAACACCUCUGCCUUCCCCUCCCACCCUUGCAAACCCCACUGGGUGUAUAAGACCCCCUCCCUCCCUCAAUCAUCUCUGGCUGG